rnacentral:rRNA from 1 species
CUCGUAGGCGGUUUGUCGCGUCGUCUGUGAAAACCCGCAGCUCAACUGCGGGCUUGCAGGCGAUACGGGCAGACUAGAGUACUGCAGGGGAGACUGGAAUUCCUGGUGUAGCGGUGAAAUGCGCAGAUAUCAGGAGGAACACCGGUGGCGAAGGCGGGUCUCUGGGCAGUAACUGACGCUGAGGAGCGAAAGCGUGGGUAGCAAACAGGAUUAGAUACCCUGGUAGUCCACGCCGUAAACGGUGGGCGCUAGGUGUGGGUUUCCUUCCACGGGAUCCGUGCCGUAGCUAACGCAUUAAGCGCCCCGCCUGGGGAGUACGGCCGCAAGGCUAAA